GACGAACCGAGCGAACGUUGUUCGGAAUCACUGGGCUUAAAGGGCGCGUAGGCGGCCACCGCAAGUCGACUGUGAAAUCUCCGGGCUUAACUCGGAAAGGUCAGCCGAUACUGCGGGGCUAGAGUGCAGAAGGGGCAACUGGAAUUCUCGGUGUAGCGGUGAAAUGCGUAGAUAUCGAGAGGAACACCUGCGGCGAAGGCGGGUUGCUGGGCUGACACUGACGCUGAUUGUGCGAAAGCUAGGGGAGCGAACGGG
rnacentral:rRNA from 1 species